AUUGUUUUUGACUCUACUUUUACCAUCAGAUCUUCCUGCAUUCAAUCUGGUCACUUGUACACCAAAAUUAAAGCUUUCCAUUCUGGGUCAAAAACUAGAACAAGUUACUCUUCUUUCAAGUGAACAAGUUAUUUUCAGGGAAGAAAAGUGAGCAGCUACUCUGAAGGACUGGAAUCAGGUCUUCCAAUUCAGAGGACAGGGGUGAGUAGCUAUUUGAAAUUCAUAUUUCAUAUGCUCUGUGCCAGGUCCUGAGGUCUCUCUGUUUAUCUUUUUAGAGGCUUAUUUGAGAAUAUUUUGAUGAUGUGUCCUUUUUCUAUUUGAGACCCUCACUAAGGUCACUUACAUUAUUGAAUCUUUAUAAUUUCUUCUUUCAUUUUAACUCUUUUCUGCUUUGAUGGAAAAAUGUAGAAUUUUAGAGAAUU